rnacentral:rRNA from 1 species
GAUGAACGCUGGCGGCGUGCCUAAUACAUGCAAGUCGAGCGAACAGACGAGGAGCUUGCUCCUCUGACGUUAGCGGCGGACGGGUGAGUAACACGUGGAUAACCUACCUAUAAGACUGGGAUAACUUCGGGAAACCGGAGCUAAUACCGGAUAAUAUAUUGAACCGCAUGGUUCAAUAGUGAAAGACGGUUUUGCUGUCACUUAUAGAUGGAUCCGAGCCGCAUUAGCUAGUUGGUAAGGUAACGGCUUACCAAGGCAACGAUGCGUAGCCGACCUGAGAGGGUGAUCGGCCGCACUGGAACGGAGACACGGUCCAGACUCCUACGGGAGGCAGCAGUAGGGAAUCUUCCGCAAUGGGCGAAAGCCUGACGGAGCAACGCCGCGUGAGUGAUGGAGGUCUUCGGAUCGUAAAACUCUGUUAUUAGGGAAGAACAAAUGUGUAAGUAACUAUGCACGUCUUGACGGUACCUAAUCAGAAAGCCACGGCUAACUACGUG